rnacentral:rRNA from 1 species
GCGUAAGCGCACGCAGGCGGUCUGUCAAGUCGGAUGUGAAAUCCCCGGGCUCAACCUGGGAACUGCAUUCGAAACUGGCAGGCUAGAGUCUUGUAGAGGGGGGUAGAAUUCCAGGUGUAGCGGUGAAAUGCGUAGAGAUCUGGAGGAAUACCGGUGGCGAAGGCGGCCCCCUGGACAAAGACUGACGCUCAGGUGCGAAAGCGUGGGGAGCAAACAGGAUUAGAUACCCUGGUAGUCCACGCCGUAAACGAUGUCGACUUGGAGGUUGUGCCCUUGAGGCGUGGCUUCCGGAGCUAACGCGUUAAGUCGACCGCCUGGGGAGUACGGCCGCAAGGUUAAAACUCAAAUGAAUUGACGGGGGCCCGCACAAGCGGUGGAGCAUGUGGUUUAAUUCGAUGCAACGCGAAGAACCUUACCUACUCUUGACAUCCAGAGAACUUUCCAGAGAUGGAUUGGUGCCUUCGGGAACUCUGAGACAGGUGCUGCAUGGCUGUCGUCAGCUCGUGUUGUGAAAUGUUGGGUUAAGUCCCGCAACGAGCGCAACCCUUAUCCUUUGUUGCCAGCGGUCAGGCCGG